UACGGAGGGUGCAAGCGUUAUCCGGAUUCACUGGGUUUAAAGGGUGCGUAGGUGGGCUAGUAAGUCCGUGGUGAAAUCUCUGAGCUUAACUCGGAAACUGCCGUGGAUACUAUUAGUCUUGAAUCUCGUGGAGGUAAGCGGAAUAUGUCAUGUAGCGGUGAAAUGCUUAGAUAUGACAUAGAACACCGAUAGCGAAGGCAGCUUGCUACACGAGUAUUGACACUGAGGCACGAAAAGCGUGGGGAUCAAACAGG
rnacentral:rRNA from 1 species